UACAGGGGGCUCGAGCGUUAGUCGGAAUCACUGGGCUUAAAGGGUGCGUAGGCGGCUCGUCAAGUGCUUUGUGAAAUCCCACAGCUCAACUGUGGAACAGCAGGGCAAACUGACGAGCUUGGAGGCAGGUAGGGGCCGGAAGAACAGUAGGUGGAGCGGUGAAAUGCGUAGAUAUCUACUGGAAUGGCCGAUGGGGAAGCCGUCCGGCUGGGCCUGUCCUGACGCUGGAGGCACGAAAGCGUGGGGAGCAAACAGG
rnacentral:rRNA from 1 species